CCUACGGGCGGCAGCAGUGAGGAAUAUUGGUCAAUGGGCGCGAGCCUGAACCAGCCACGCAGCGUGAAGGAUGACUGCCCUCCGGGUUGUAAACUUCUUUUAUAAAGGCAUAAAGUGAGGCACGUGUGCCUUUAUGUAUCUACUUUAUGAAUAUGGAACGGCUAACUCCGUGCCAGCAGCCGCGGUAAUACGGAGGAUCCGAUCGUUAUCCGGAUUGAUUGGGUUUAAAGGGAGCGUAGAUGGGAUAGUAAGUCAGUUGUGAAAGUUUGCGGCUCAACCGUGAAAUUGCAAUGGAAACUGGCAGUCUUGAGUGCAGUAGAGGUAGGCGGAAUUCGUGGUGUAGCGGUGAAAUGCGUAGAUAUCACGAGGAACACCAGUUGCGAAGGCAGCUUGCUAAACUGCCACUGACGUUGAUGCUCGAAAGUGUGGGGAGCAAACAGGAUUAGAUACCCGGGUAGUC
rnacentral:rRNA from 1 species